AAGAGCAGAGAUGAAGGAAGACUCGUUGCGGUGGUGGCCGGAACACCGUCACGGUGAUGCUCGCGGAAAGGUGAUCGGAGAAUGAGGAGGAGCGGCCGCCGUUUCUCGCGUGCGUGUGAUAAGAAGAGGAAAAUUUCAUCUUGUGCGAGGAACUUUGAGCACGAUAUUUGAUGGAUGCGCUUGGCUUUGUGUCCCGCUUUAUUUGUGGACACGACAUUAUUCUCCUGAUUGCUUUUCGUUCGUCUCCUUGUGCGAGUCACGAUUCAUAUAUGCUUGUUGUUGCUUGCCUGUUGCGACUUUUUCUUGCAGGUGUAUUAUUCAGAUGUGCCGAUACACAUUCCGAAUUGACGCGUGAUUUAUAUUUGUGUUGUCUUUGCACUUUGAUGAUGCUUAUUUCGUCUAUCAGAUUUCGGAUGCUUGAUGUUAGCUCGUGCACGCGUUCUCUGGGUUUCUUAGUUCUGCUUGCGUUGCUAGCUCAUUACGGAUUUGCUAUCCGUUCGGUAUGGUCUCCUUAUCCCUUUUACUUAUUCUCGCACCAUAUCUUGCCAUGAGAAGUAGGGUAGGCAUGCAGCAUCAUAUUUGCCAUGAGAAAUAGGACCUAGGCAUUCAUCAGGCCAAGCCCUCGAAAGAGGCUCUGUUUUUGUUUGUUUAUUAUUUCCAGUCUAUUUUUCUUGUUCACCCGUCUCGGAGGACUUUCCCCGUGGACGGGAGCUUCGAAGGACUUUCCUCGUUAGCUAGAACGUUUAUUUUUUGUCUUGUCCAACCGUCUCGGAGGACUUUCCCCGUGGACAGUGGCUUCAGAGAACUUUCCCUAUUAGCUAGAACGUUAAUUUUUUGUCUUGUUCACCCGUCUCGGAGGACUUUCCCCAUGGACAGUAGCUUCGGAGGACUUUCCCCGUUAGCUAGAACGUUUAUUUCCAGUUAUUUUCUUGUUCAACCGUCUCGGAGGACUUUCCCCGUGGACGGUGGCUUCGGAGGACUUUCCCCGUUAGCUAUAACGUCUCCCUAGUUCCCAGGUCACUACUUCGGUAGUUUGCUUGCUUUACCAGCCGAGCUCGUUUGUGUGUUGCAUUUGCAUUGAUUACUAUUUUGGUAGUUUGUUUGUUUCUCGAGCGGAGCUCGAUUGUAUGCCAUAUGGUUGUGAUGCUUGUUCACUAUCUCCUUAUCUGCUAUGCCUGUUAUUAUGAUAUCUUUGUGAUGCUUGUUCAUUAUCUCUUUAUUUGUUAUGCUUGUUAGUAUGAUAUCACUUGUGAUGCCUGCUCACAAUUUCGCAUUUGUGUAUGCCUGUUACAUGUUUGUCUUUCUAUCUACGAUGCCUGUUCGUAUGAUAUCUCUAUGAUACUUGUUCGCAUGUUCUUAUCUGUAAUUCCUGUUCACAUGCCAUGUUUGCUAGGAUCUUUGUGAUGCUCCUUGUUUGCAUGCUCCCUUAGGGUGCUCGGUUCCGUUUCGCUAGGAGACGCGAAUCGAGAUAGAAACAGAAACUUUUGAGCUGAACUACGGUGCUUUGAUAUCUCCAUUGCACGUUGGAGGUACGUAGGCACAGGGUAUGAACGCCCUAGCGAGCGAACUUUUCUUUUUUUUGUUCUGUUCAACCUUUUUCCUUUAUCUUGUUUGCCUACUAUUUGCCUGUUUCCUGUUAUCUGCUUAUCCUUCCAUUGCAUGUUUUCCUUAUCACUUUGCAUGAUACACACACACACACACACACACACCCUUAGAUUAAAAAAUGGCAAGAAUGGAUCCUGUGGAGUACCACAGACGUGAGGGGUGCUAAUACCUUCCCCUCACGUAACAGACACCCUUACCCUUUCUCUGAGACCUGUGCUAUUAUUUGGUUUUCUUCGAUAUUUUCCAUUCCUGUGUGUAGGAUAAAUAUAUGUUCGAUGGCGACUUCAUUGUUUUGUUUCGAUGAGUUUUCCAGUUGCUUCACCCCUGCAAUAUUUUUUUUUGGAUUACCCCCAUAAGCGUGCAAUUUAAACACCAAAUAUGGGGGAAAAAUCAAACAAAAAAUAUUACAGGGGAUAAACUUUACAUUUAAGGAGCAAAAGAGAUAGUAUCUUUAUAUUUUAAGGGGGUGUUUAAAAAAAAUAUUACAAAGAGAAAAAACAAAUUUCGCCAAUAUUACAAUUUUUUUAUAUAUUUAACCCUAUAAUAUGUGUAUAAGCAAUUUAUAUAAAUUAAAUUGGUAAAGUAUUUAAUAAUUUUGUAUUCUACAUUUAAAAAAUGAGACUAUGUUAAAAUGAAAAAAAUGAUUAUUAUAAUUCAUAUAUAUUAUUUAAAGAGAAAAAAUAAUAUUUAUAUACUUUACACUGUAAUCAAUAAACUGUAAUCAAUAAGAAACAUGUAUUUUGUCAAAUUAUACUUUUAACUUUAAAAUGAUAAUAUAACAUCAUAAAUAUAAAUUUUUAAAUUAAUUGUAUGUGUAAUGAGUAUCUUUAAGACAUUUUUUCAUUCCACCCCAUGAGUCUCUUACGCACCACCGAAUUGAUAAAAAUGUCUUCGAUUUUCCGUAGAUGCAUCUUCGGAAGCACCUUUUUUUUGUUUAACGUUGUUUUGUUCCAUAGUUCCACUUACAGAACUCUUCCGUAGAUGCAUCUACAGAACAAACCCAUACUAAAAAACCAGAACAACAACAUUUGUAACGAUAAAAGAUCCAUUCAUUGAUUAAAAUCGACAUUGAUUAAAAGAUACACAGAAAUUUCCAACAGAAAAUUAAGAAAACUAAGAGAUCUAAAAAAUUACAAGAGCUAAAACAAUGUCAUCUGAUCCAUGCAUCAUUAUUACGGAAUUAACAUCGCCUUCCACGUCAUCCCACCAACGUUCAUUUUCUCCGGUAUCAGACGAGGUCCGUGUUCUAAGCCUCUAGAUCUUUCUGAUGACUUCAUCGGGUUUGUACCCCCUCUAAAAAAACAUCAGAGCCCUCUUGAGUUGAUCGAAGGAAUGGAUGUUUCAAAAUGUUUGACGGGAGAGAAAACAACAUGUCCAUCCCUUAUAAGAUAAACCGGUUCAGGAUCAGGACACUUGGAUGAUGUUUGCUGCCCUGAACAUGGCCUUACGUGAGCCAUUUUUAUGUCUGUGUUUGUGUCUAAUGCAACCCUAGAAACCCCAACUUUAUAGAAGCCUUUGGUGAAUAUGGACCACACAAUCUGUCAUAGAAUGUUCUGUAAAUAUAUCCACUGAAGGGUCAUAGAUUUCUCCGUUUCGUAGAUGCAUCUAUGGUAAACACCCAUAAUUUUAAAUAUCAGACCCUUCCAUAGAUACAUCUACGAAAAUUUCCCUGUUAGUUUUUUUAACAUAAUUCAAUGCAAUAACAGCAGCAACAGUAGUAGUAGUAGUAGAAGGAAAAAACACAAAAACAUAAACACAAACACAAAAAGGAUUAUAUUUCAACGUCAUAGAGUGCAUAUAUUACACUUUGAAAUUAGAAAAAUACAUCAAAAGAACUGUUGCCAACUAAAUCUAUUGGAGGUUCUAAUAUUGACUUUUCGGCAUUUGAUUCCUUUUUGAUGUUGUUCAACCUUUCGAUGUUGUGCAUCCUAUCCACAAAAUGAUCCGACCACGUAUUGACUGCUUUGGUAUGAUGAAAUGCUUAUUCCGGUGACGUAGGUGGUAUGUGACAUCCUGGUUUCAAGUAAACUUGCACAAAAUGUUUCGAUUUUCCGAGCCAUCCAACACACAUAAUACGAUCAUUUGGAUUUGUAGGAGGUGUAGUGCGAAGCGGAAAAAAGGUUUCCGAAAAACCAUAACGCAUCAAGUCAAUGCAUACCAUGUCAUGUGCGCAUGCAAUAAGAUAUCCCAUUUUCGGGAAUCUCAUCCAUUUUGAAGUCAGUGAGUAAGCGCCCAACCAAGGAACAAGAGCUUCGUGAACCGAUUCAAAUAUAUCUUCGUCUCCAAAUACCCACGUGUACGAGUUUUUAUGGUUCAUCAACUAUUCGAUAAGUUCAUGACGGACAAGCUUAUGGUCAUCUUCUCCCUUACCAAGCAAAGCCGAUACAAUCCGGAAUCCGCAAUUACCGUCUCCUACCACAUUGACGAUCCGGUCGAUGUAUUUGUGCAUAAAAAUUGGCAUCUCGUCGAUGAAUGGAAUUUUUAGAGCAAUAUGCACCUCUUUGAUUGAUGGAAUUUUUGGAGCAAUAUGUACCUCUUUGAUUGAUGGAAUUUUUGUUUCAAUAGGUGUGGGAGUCAAAACUUUCGGAGCAAUAGGUUUUGGAGGCGGUUUGCUAAUGUGAGCUCCUUUGUUUGAAUUUUUUUGAGAUUUAGGAGUAGGUGAGUCGAGAAAGAGUUUGUCGACGUGCUCACGAUAUGAAGGAGACUGUGUAGUCAAGUUGCCAUUCGGCGUAGGCUUCACUUUCUUCGGAGCACCCUUUGUCUUAACAGUUGAAAAAAACAACUCAGGGAUUGUACCGUAGAUGCACCUAAGGAAGUGUUCUUCCUCAACACGUUCCAUAAAUGCAUCUACGGAAGCAGCGUAACUUAUUUUUCACACAAAUUAGUUGCAUAAUGUGAACAAUGUAGUGGUUAAAGUUGAAUAUUUACCUGAAAUUCAGACUCCUCUUGUGAAGGAUAGAAAAAUACUUAGCAAGGGGGGUUUGAACAAGUGUGACUUUAAAAACUCUUAAGAUAAAAACAAUGAACACAAUUAUUUUUAUCCUGGUUCGUUGUUAACGAAACUACUCCAGUCCACCCCCUUAGAGUGAUUUACCUCAACUGAGGAUUUAAUCCAUUAAUCAAUCUUGAUUACAAUGGUUUUCCACUUAGAUACCCUCUAAGUCUUCAAGAGUAUACUGAUCACAACUUGAUCACUCUAGGAAAUCACCACUUAGAAAACUUCUAAGUCUUCUAGAGUCUACUGAUCUAACUAAUCACUCUAGGAACCUUUUACAAUCAAUGUAAAAUAAAUGUUUACAAGAGUAUGAAUUUGCUUCUUAGAAAGCUAUAAUCACAACAGUGAUAUUUCUCUUAAGUUCUAAGCUUAACACUCACUAAAUAUUACAAGAGAUGUGAGGUUGAAGAUGAAGUUCGUGAGUUUUGAAUUUAGCAGCGUUUCAGUAUUUUUGCAAGAGUUGUGUUACUGCUUCUGAUCAUAACUUCCAUAUUUAUAGGCGUUUGAGAAGAUGACUGUUGGGUUGCAUUUAAUGCAUUGCGUGAAUAGUACAACACUGCAUUUAAUGUUUCACACUUUUGUCAACUACCUCGAGCCAUGUUUUUGUUGCUUUUACUGACUUUGCCUUUUGUAGCUUCUAACGUUCCUUUUGUCAGUCAGAGAUUAGACUUAAUAGCCUGUCAUCUUGUACUUGCUUCUGAACUGAGAUUGUAGAUACAAUGUUUGAAUAUCAGAGUCAUUCAGCUUGGUGCAGAGCAUCUUCUUGUCUUCUGACUUUGAAGUGCUUGAGCGUGAUACCAUAAGAACUUCAGUGCUUCUGCUUCUGACUUCUUUUUCUUCUGAUGCUUCAUAGACCAUGUUCUGAUUCUGCUUGACCAUCUUUUGAUGUCUUGCGAGAGCAUGUUCUGAUGUUGCAAUCUUGAACCUUCUGAGUCAGUGCUUCUGAGCGCUGAGUUGUGCAUACUCUUUAUGUAUUUCCUGAAAUGGAAAAUGCAAAGGAUUAGAGUACCACAUUGUCUUAUACAAAAUUCAUAUAUAUUGUUAUCAUCAAAACAAGAAUAUUGAUCAAAACAAAUCUUGUUCUAACAAUCUCCCCCUUUUUGAU